rnacentral:rRNA from 1 species
GGGGAAUCUUAGACAAUGGGGGCAACCCUGAUCUAGCCAUGCCGCGUGAGUGAUGAAGGCCUUAGGGUUGUAAAGCUCUUUCAGCUGGGAAGAUAAUGACGGUACCAGCAGAAGAAGCCCCGGCUAACUCCGUGCCAGCAGCCGCGGUAAUACGGAGGGGGCUAGCGUUGUUCGGAAUUACUGGGCGUAAAGCGCACGUAGGCGGACCAGCAAGUUAGGGGUGAAAUCCCGGGGCUCAACCCCGGAACUGCCCUUAAAACUGCCGGUCUGGAGUUCGAGAGAGGUGAGUGGAAUUCCGAGUGUAGAGGUGAAAUUCGUAGAUAUUCGGAGGAACACCAGUGGCGAAGGCGGCUCACUGGCUCGAUACUGACGCUGAGGUGCGAAAGCGUGGGGAGCAAAC